GCUGGCGACCAUAGCAAGAGUGAACCACCUGAUCCCUUCCCGAACUCAGAAGUGAAACCUCUUAGCGCUGAUGGUAGUGUGGGAUUACCCAUGUGAGAGUAAGUCAUCGCCAGC
rnacentral:rRNA from 2 species